GCCUACCGGAGGCAGCAGUCGAGAAUCUUCGGCAAUGGGCGCAAGCCUGACCGAGCAACGCCGCGUGAGUGAAGAAGGUUUUCGGAUCGUAAAGCUCUGUUGUAAGAGAAGAACGAGUGUGAGAGUGGAAAGUUCACACUGUGACGGUAUCUUACCAGAAAGGGACGGCUAACUACGUGCCAGCAGCCGCGGUC
rnacentral:rRNA from 1 species